ACAGUUUCCACACCAGCAGGUCCAGCUGUUUACAGGAAGUAUGCAGAUGGAGCCGCGAGCGUCUGCUCCGUCACGUUACAUGAUGACUUCUGAGGCCUGGAAGGAGACGCAUGACUGACGGACGGAGGCAGUGAACAUGGGCACCGACACUGCACAAGACAUGGGGAUGGAAAAGUGCUCACAAACGAUUUAAAACAGAAUAAAAGAAGACCAUAAAGAAACCAGCAGAGUGCCUGUUUAGGACUUGGUCUUAAAAGGAUUAUUGCUGCGGGGAUGAAGCUGUCCCUGUCACACUUUGUCUUUGACCUCAGGACUUUAAAUCUCCGACCAGAGGGAAGGUGCUGAAAUUCUCUAAAUAAAGGGUGGGAGUCGA